CCGGUGACAGGUGGUGCAUGGUUGUCGUCAGCUCGUGUCGUGAGAUGUUGGGUUAAGUCCCGCAACGAGCGCAACCCUUAUUGUUAGUUGCUACGCAAGAGCACUCUAGCGAGACUGCCGUUGACAAAACGGAGGAAGGUGGGGACGACGUCAAAUCAUCAUGCCCCUUAUGUCCUGGGCCACACACGUACUACAAUGGUGGUCAACAGAGGGAAGCAAUACCGCGAGGUGGAGCAAAUCCCUAAAAGCCAUCCCAGUUCGGAUCGCAGGCUGCAACCCGCCUGCGUGAAGUUGGAAUCGCUAGUAAUCGCGGAUCAGCAUGCCGCGGUGAAUACGUUCCCGGGCCUUGUACACACCGCCCGUCACACCAUGAGAGUCGGGAACACCCGAAGUCCGUAGCCUAACCGCAAGGGGGGCGCGGCCGAAGGUGGGUUCGAUAAUUGGGGUGAAGUCGUAACAAGGUAGCCGUAUCGGAAGGUGCGGCUGGAUCACCUC
rnacentral:rRNA from 1 species